UCCUUGGGUGGGGGACAACCGUGGGAAACUACGGCUAAUACCGCAUGAUGCCUGAGGGCCAAAGACGAAAGUCGUUUGAGGAGGAGCCUGCGUCUGAUUAGGUAGUUGGUGGGGUAAAGGCCUACCAAGCCCUACGAUCAGUAGCUGGUCUGAGAGGAUGAUCAGCCACAUUGGGACUGAGACACGGCCCAAACUCCUACGGGAGGCAGCAGUGGGGAAUAUUGGACAAUGGGCGCAAGCCUGAUCCAGCAAUGCCGCGUGGGUGAAGAAGGUCUUCGGAUUGUAAAGCCCUUUUGGCGGGGACGAUGAUGACGGUACCCGCAGAAUAAGCUCCGGCUAACUUCGUG
rnacentral:rRNA from 1 species